rnacentral:rRNA from 1 species
GACGAACCGUGCGAACGUUGUUCGGAAUCACUGGGCUUAAAGGGCGCGUAGGCGGGCUGUCAAGUCGGUGGUGAAAUCUUUCGGCUCAACCGGAAAAUCGCCUCCGAUACUGGCGGCCUUGAGGGGGGUAGGGGCAUGCGGAACUUCCGGUGGAGCGGUGAAAUGCGUAGAUAUCGGAAGGAACACCUGUGGCGAAGGCGGUCUCCUGGGGCAGACUUGACGCUGAGGCGCGAAAGCUGGGGGAGCGAACGGG